UACGUAGGGUGCAAGCGUUAAUCGGAAUUACUGGGCGUAAAGCGUGCGCAGGCGGUUUUGUAAGUUUGUCGUGAAAUCCCCCGGGCUCAACCUGGGAAUGGCGAUGAAGACUGCAAGGCUAGAGUUUGGCAGAGGGGAUGGAAUUCCGCGUGUAGCAGUGAAAUGCGUAGAUAUGCGGAGGAACACCGAUGGCGAAGGCAAUCCCCUGGACCUGUACUGACGCUCAUGCACGAAAGCGUGGGGAGCAAACGAGG
rnacentral:rRNA from 1 species